rnacentral:rRNA from 1 species
AGUCAGACUGCACGAGAUAAGUUGGGUAGUCAAAAGGGAAAGAGCCCAGACCUACGGCUAAGGUCCCAAAGUGUGUGUUAAGUGGAAAAGGAUGUGGGAUUUCGAAGACAGCUAGGAUGUUGGCUUAGAAGCAGCCAUACAUUAAAAGAGUGCGUAACAGCUCACUAGUCGAGAGGUCCUGCGCCGAAAAUGUCCGGGGCUAAACACAACACCGAAGCCUGGGAAUGUAGUAAUACAUUGGUAGAGGAGCAUUCUUAGAGGCGUAGAAGCCAUACCGGAAGGAAUGGUGGAGUAAUAAGAAGAGAGAAUGCCGGAAUGAGUAGCGAGAAAGAGGUGAGAAUCCUCUUGGCCGAAUAUCUAAGGUUUCCUGAGUAAAGCUGAUCUACUCAGGGUAAGUCGGGGCCUAAGGCAAGGUCGAAAGACGUAGUCGAUGGAUAACAGGUACAGAUUCCUGUACUACAUAUAAUCAGAACUGUGGGGACACGGAGACUAAAACCGAACCCGGGAGGACAAAAACCGGGGCAAGCGAAGUACCUGUAUGGGAGGAAAAACCACCAUGCAAAGGGAAAACGUGAUGCGUACCGAAAAUUAGUAGGGAAGUCGGUUAGGGAGCCGUCAAGAAAAGCCGCUAUUGUGUUAUAUGUACCCGUACCGCAAACCGACACAGGUAGAUGAGGAGAGAAUCCUAAGGCCGGCGGGAGAAGCAUUGUUAAGGAACUCGGCAAAAUGACCCCGUAACUUCGGGAGAAGGGGUGCCACUGGAAACAGUGGUCGCAGAAAAAAGGCUCAAGCAACUGUUUAGCAAAAACACAGGUCUAUGCGAAACCGCAAGGUGAAGUAUAUGGGCUGACGCCUGCCCGGUGCCGGAAGGUUAAGAGGAGAAGUCAGGAAACGAAGCUUUGAAUUGAAGCCCCGGUAAACGGCGGCCGUAACUAUAACGGUCCUAAGGUAGCGAAAUUCCUUGUCGGGUAAGUUCCGACCCGCACGAAAGGCGUAAUGAUUUGAGCGCUGUCUCAACAAUGCACCCGGUGAAAUUGAAGUACCAGUGAAGAUGCUGGUUACCCGCGCCAGGACGGAAAGACCCCAUGGAGCUUUACUCCAGUUUGGUACUGGGAUUCG